CAGUCGACGCUUCUUUUUCCCCGGAGCUUGCUCCACCGGAAAAAGAAGAGUGGCGAACGGGUGAGUAACACGUGGGUAACCUGCCCAUCAGAAGGGGAUAACACUUGGAAACAGGUGCUAAUACCGUAUAACAAUCAAAACCGCAUGGUUUUGAUUUGAAAGGCGCUUUCGGGUGUCGCUGAUGGAUGGACCCGCGGUGCAUUAGCUAGUUGGUGAGGUAACGGCUCACCAAGGCCACGAUGCAUAGCCGACCUGAGAGGGUGAUCGGCCACAUUGGGACUGAGACACGGCCCAAACUCCUACGGGAGGCAGCAGUAGGGAAUCUUCGGCAAUGGACGAAAGUCUGACCGAGCAACGCCGCGUGAGUGAAGAAGGUUUUCGGAUCGUAAAACUCUGUUGUUAGAGAAGAACAAGGAUGAGAGUAACUGUUCAUCCCUUGACGGUAUCUAACCAGAAAGCCACGGCUAACUACGUGCCAGCAGCCGCGGUAAUACGUAGGUGGCAAGCGUUGUCCGGAUUUAUUGGGCGUAAAGCGAGCGCAGGCGGUUUCUUAAGUCUGAUGUGAAAGCCCCCGGCUCAACCGGGGAGGGUCAUUGGAAACUGGGAGACUUGAGUGCAGAAGAGGAGAGUGGAAUUCCAUGUGUAGCGGUGAAAUGCGUAGAUAUAUGGAGGAACACCAGUGGCGAAGGCGGCUCUCUGGUCUGUAACUGACGCUGAGGCUCGAAAGCGUGGGGAGCAAACAGGAUUAGAUACCCUGGUAGUCCACGCCGUAAACGAUGAGUGCUAAGUGUUGGAGGGUUUCCGCCCUUCAGUGCUGCAGCUAACGCAUUAAGCACUCCGCCUGGGGAGUACGACCGCAAGGUUGAAACUCAAAGGAAUUGACGGGGGCCCGCACAAGCGGUGGAGCAUGUGGUUUAAUUCGAAGCAACGCGAAGAACCUUACCAGGUCUUGACAUCCUUUGACCACUCUAGAGAUAGAGCUUCCCCUUCGGGGGCAAAGUGACAGGUGGUGCAUGGUUGUCGUCAGCUCGUGUCGUGAGAUGUUGGGUUAAGUCCCGCAACGAGCGCAACCCUUAUUGUUAGUUGCCAUCAUUCAGUUGGC
rnacentral:rRNA from 1 species